GUUUUUGGUCUUUCUUUUAUUGAUGUAGUGGAUCACAUUGAUUGAUUUACAUAUAUUAAACCAACCUUGUACUCCUGGGAUAAACCCCACUUGAUCAUGAUGAACAAUCUUUUAAUAUACUGCUGUAUCUGGUUGGCUAGAAUUUUAUUCAAUAUUUUAGCAUCUAUGUUCAUCAGAGAUAUUGGUCUGUAGUUUUUUUGGUUGUGUCCCUGUCUGUUUUUGGUAUCAGAGUGAUAUUGGUGUCAUAGAAGCUAGAAGGGAGUAUUCCUGUGUCUUGAGUCUUCUGGAAGGACUUUUAUUCUUGGGAAGGUUUUUGACAACUGUUUCAGUUUUGUUGGCUGUGAUUGGCCUGUUCAUAUUAUCUAGUUCCUCUUUAUUUACAAAAUUACAUGUCAGCAGGGUAUAAUUCCAUACCAUCCCCACUACCAGAUUUCUGAAUCCCCAAUCCCUCUAUUGUGGCUGAAAGAUGGCAAGAUCUAAAGUGGGACAAAAUGAUUAAUGAAUAAGAACCAAAGUAGGAACAGAGUAGAUGAGAAUAGGGAUCUUGGGGUGGAAGGAACCUAGGAAGUCCAUUUAAGGCAUGUUUCUGAGGGGCUCACAAGUAUUGUAGUAUAUAUAUAUAUUUUUUCUUUUGCUUGAUAGCUAACAUGGAGUUGGACAAAAAUAUUGUCUGAGAAGAUGGUGUCAGAGUAAAGAAAAGGCUAGAAAAGUUGGAUUAGAGCAGAGAGUAGCUCCCAUCCUUGGAAAAAAAAAUCUGUGAGUAAAAUUAACUGUUUACUUCAUCCGCUUGACCUAAGGGCAUAUAUAUAGCAUAAGAGCCUGUGUAACCUCUAAGUCCCUACUAAUCUGAGCUCACAGUUCAUGGUCACAGCUGGGAAAAUUGCAGGCUGCAUAUAACUAUGCUAACUUUAAAAGAAUAAGGACAGGAAGAAUUCUCAUAAUUAAGUAUUAAUUAUUCUGAAAACCCAACUGCUAGAAUAAUGUUCUAUGCUCAUAUGAAAUUCAGUAUUGGACUAGAGGACCUUGUAGGUAUCAUUUAAAAUUCAAAAAUGAUGGGCUUGCCUACAGAAAUUAAGGAAGACAAUGACACAGUCUGCUGGUUUUUGCAGCCAUUAUUAUUAUUAUUAUUUUUUACCUUCAAAGCUUGUCUACACUUUCUUUAUUGUAAUUCAAAUCCAUUGUCCCUGAUUUUAAUUUCCUAGAAUGAGAUGAGUUCCUGUCUUUGUUCUCACCCUUAGAAAUGGACUUACUGAAAGCAGUCUUGUGUUACAUGGUUAUUUUAAAACUUCAUACAUAUUCUAGUUGCUUUAGUCUUUACUUUCACCAACAUCUCUUUGGUUCUUUAAUUACUUGUAUUCAUACACUACUAUAUUUGCUUUUUGGACUCCAAGACAUUCAUAACAGAAUGCAGUGUUUGAGAGUACAUUUCAAGUGAGCUAUUUCAUGGAAAGCAAACAUACAUUCAUUUCCCUCAAAGACAUACAUUCAUUUCCCUAUGAAUAAAUAUUAAGAGACAUACCCAGCACUAUACUAAGUGAUAUGGAAUAAAAAUUAGAGUCAUGGUCCCUGACUUCAAUGAGCUUAUAGUCAUGGCCACAGCUGGACAUCAUGCACACCAUUUUAUUAAUUAAUUAAUUUCCAGAGCACUGCUCAGCUCUGAUUUAUGGUGGUUGUGGAGAUUAAACCUAUGAGCUCAGAAACUCAGAUAUGAAAGCCUUUUGUGUAAGCAUUAUGCUGUUUUCCCAGCCCUGUGCACACAACUCCGAACCACUGAAUGCAUAUUUCAGAUACAAAGUACAAAUACAUUUUGUACCUUUGGUAUCUUUUGAACUCUUUAGGAGCAAUCCAUUUUAGGGUAUUUUCAAUAAUAUUUACUUCAUGAGGAAGAUAGGAAACAAGGGAGACAGAGAGAUCUGAGUACUGCUCUGGUAUAUAAAGUGUCAGGAUUGAAACCCCAGAUUUCAUUCAUGCAAGUCUGCCUUACCUGUUGAACCACCGUUCUAGCCAUAGGAGUAAUCAAUUUGGAACAGAAACUUGUGCUCUCUAAAUUGUAUUUCUCUGCAAUCCCCAAAUAAACAAAAUUUUGACUUUCAGCUAA